rnacentral:rRNA from 1 species
AAUGAACGCUGGCGGCGCGCCUAAUACAUGCAAGUCGAGCGAGAAGACGUAGCAAUACGUUUGUAAAGCGGCGAACGGGUGAGGAAUACAUGGGUAACCUACCCUAGAGUGGGGAAUAACUAGCCGAAAGGUUAGCUAAUACCGCGUACGCUCCUUGGACUCGGUUCAGGGAGGAAAGCGAUGCCGAGGGUAUCGCGCUCUUGGAUGGGCUCAUGUCCUAUCAGCUUGNGGUGAGGUAACGGCUCACCAAGGCUUCGACGGGUAGCUGGUCUGAGAGGACGAUCAGCCACACUGGCACUGCGACACGGGCCAGACUCCUACGGGAGCAGCAGUAAGGAAUAUUGCGCAAUGGGCGAAAGCCUGACGCAGCGACGCCG